rnacentral:rRNA from 1 species
GUGGGGAAUAUUGGACAAUGGGGGGAACCCUGAUCCAGCCAUGCCGCGUGUGUGAAGAAGGCCUUUUGGUUGUAAAGCACUUUAAGCGAGGAGGAGGCUACCGAGAUUAAUACUCUUGGAUAGUGGACGUUACUCGCAGAAUAAGCACCGGCUAACUCUGUGCCAGCAGCCGCGGUAAUACAGAGGGUGCAAGCGUUAAUCGGAUUUACUGGGCGUAAAGCGCGCGUAGGUGGCAAAUUAAGUCAAAUGUGAAAUCCCCGAGCUUAACUUGGGAAUUGCAUUCGAUACUGGUUGGCUAGAGUAUGGGAGAGGAUGGUAGAAUUCCAGGUGUAGCGGUGAAAUGCGUAGAGAUCUGGAGGAAUACCGAUGGCGAAGGCAGCCAUCUGGCCUAAUACUGACACUGAGGUGCGAAAGCAUGGGGAGCAAACAGGAUUAGAUACCCGGGUAGUCC